rnacentral:rRNA from 1 species
UGGGGAAUAUUGCGCAAUGGGGGAAACCCUGACGCAGCAACGCCGCGUGAAGGAUGAAGGCUCUCGGGUUGUAAACUUCUUUGAUUAGGGACGAAUAAAUGACGGUACCUAAAAAACAAGCCACGGCUAACUACGUGCCAGCAGCCGCGGUAAUACGUAGGUGGCAAGCGUUAUCCGGAAUUACUGGGUGUAAAGGGCGUGUAGGCGGGGAUGUAAGUCAGAUGUGAAAUUCCACUGCUCAACGGUGGCGCUGCAUCUGAAACUAUAUCUCUUGAGUACUGGAGAGGAAAGUGGAAUUCCUAGUGUAGCGGUGAAAUGCGUAGAUAUUAGGAGGAACACCAGUGGCGAAGGCGGCUUUCUGGACAGUAACUGACGCUGAGGCGCGAAAGCGUGGGGAGCA